CCAGGACCCUACAAGAGUAGUUUGGCUCUGUAGGGGAUGUUGGGAGUGGGGUGGGGUAGUGCCCACUAGGUGCCCUCACCACUCAGAGGGCCUGUCUUGUUCACCCUGACAGCUCUGACUAUCCACCUCUGUAAGAGCCUGCAAGCCCCCACAGGUGCUCCCUACAAAGCCUUAAAUUUGGCCAGCCGCGUGGUUACUGUGAUCUGCCAUGAGCAAAGGUCAGAGGGACCAGAUUUCAGCAGAGACCAACAACACAACUAUCAUCAAAGUCCAGACUCUACUGGGAGGAGACAAGCCAGCUCCCAUAUUGCCAUCUGGACCAACCUGUGGCUCCUGAUUUUUCUGCCUCAGGUGAGAACCAGAAAAAAAAGCAGAGCUUGGGGCUGGGUAGGGGGAAUAUGCCAGAGCAGGGGCUUCUAGUGCCAGGUAGCCUCUGGAUUUGAUCCAGAAUAAAAAUGACUCACAGGCUUGUAGUUUGUACUAGUUUGCAAGUGUGCACACACACAUGCGUGCUAUAACUACAGCACCAAAGUUAAGGAGUUUCAUGUGUCUCCCCAGCUCCCUCAGAGAAGAUCUCAAAGGUCUAGGAAUUGGAUUUCAGAUAAGACCCGGUUUCAGGCUUCGGCAACCACCAUCUAUGGUACCUCUUGCUUUGUUUUGUACCUAGACUGUAGCUCCCCAAGCCUUCUCUGCCGGGCUCCUGUUUAGGAUUGUGGGUAAGAGACCAGGCUCAAAGGGGUUCCUUUCCACCCCCUCUCCUACUCCUGCCUUCCGCCCCCUGCUGGCCACUGCCCUUUCCUGCUCCAAGCUGAGGGCAGUUCAGGGUGAGGAGGCGGUGCUUGCUCCUUACAGGGCUGGGAGAUCCCCAGCUGGAAACCAGUUAGCUAUUUAUAACUGAGUCUAACUGAAGGGGAAGGCCUGAGAGGAGGUGUGGAGCUUCUGCAGGCUGCUACAGCAUUUGCAAGAACCCCAGGCUUCUGCUUAGGCUGGCCUUUUGUUCUUUUCUGGGUGAGGGUACUUUGAGCCUCUGAAAGCUCUAUGAAGCUUAAGGAUCCCAGGCUGUUUUCUGACCUAAAAAAUAGGACACGUACUCCAGUUGCCCUGCACUGGGCAUUUAGGCCCUUCUCAUGGGGAGUAUUGAAAACUGGAAUUGGUAAAAUGAGACUUUUUUUUUCGGGUGGGGGUGGGAAUACCAUGUGAUGCACAAUAAGAUGGUCUCUGAUAUUUCCAUGCAUUUUUCUUAUUGUAUUCCUAUGCUUGCCUUCUCAACCAAAUUAUAUACUCUAUAGAAAUAAAGAGAGAGGAACUAAAUCUCUUGCUAAUGGUACCAACCUCUCCUUACCAAGACUGGGUUGGGUGCAACUUUUGUUUCCUAACCCUACAAAACCUUUCCAUUGCCUUUUGCUUUUGCUUGCCUGGUUUUGCUACUAUUUGGUGACUUCUUAUUGAUAUGGACUUAUCUGCCUUCUUGAUAAUCCCAUUGUGGCAUAGUAAACAAUUGUUGAAUGACUGAAUAUGAAUCAGUGAUGGCUAAUUCUGCUUGUGGAAUGCUUGAAACAUACUUAAUUGUCACAGUUUUUCUUUAGUAUCGGGGGUUGAACUCGGGGGUACUCAACCACUAAGCCACAUCCCCAGCCCUAUUUUGUAUUUUAUUUAAAGACGGAGUCUCACUGACUUGCUUAGCACCUCACUGUUGCUGAGGCUGGAUUUGAACUCGAAAUCCUCCUGCCUCAGCCUUCCGAGCCACUGGGAUUACAGGUGUGUGCCUAACCAGCUCAUUGUCACAUUUAAUCAGUGUUUUAUAGGUUGGAAAAUAAACUUGGCUGGGUGUAGUGCCAAACAUCUGUAAUCCCAGUGAUUUAGUAGAUUGAGGCAGUAGGAUCACAACUUCAAAGCCAGCAAUUUAGCAAGACCCUAAGCAAUGUAGUGAGACCCUGUCCCAAAAGAAAGAAAAUAAGCUGGCUGUGGUGGCACAUUCUUGUAAUCCCAGCAAUCUGGGAAACUGGGGCAGGAAGAUCGCAAGUUCAAGACCAGCCUCAGCAAUUUAGCAAGGCCCUAAGCAAUUUAGCGAGACUCUCUCAAAAUAAAAAAGCAAAAGGGCUGGAUCUGUGACUUAGUGCCCCUGGGUUCAAUGGCCAGUACCAUAAGAAAAAAAGAUUAGCUUUGGUCAUUAUUUUUAAGUGCCUUCACCCAGAUCUUUUUUUCUUUUCCUUUGGUGAUAGUGGGGAUUGAACCCAGGGCCUCAUGCAUUUUAGGCAAGUGCUUUACCACUGUACUACAUCCCUGAGCCUUUUUAAAAAAUUUUUUGAGACAGGGUCUCACAGAGUUGCCCUGACUGUCAUGGAACUUGUGAUCCUCUGCAUCAGCCUCCUGAGUAGCUGGUUAGAUCUUAAGUGGAGCUGUGAUAAGACCUGGUGUCCGACUUCAGAGUAGUUCUUAGGAGGAGGCUGCCUCCGUGCUGGCAUCCAGUCAGAACCUGGUACCUGUGACUGCACAGCAGCCAGGUAGGUGAGGAGGGACACAUGGGGUAUUUGGCUGGGUUCUGCUGGGAAACUGAGGCAACACAGAGACCUUCUUCAAACCCCAGUUCUUGUGAUCAAAUCAGAAAGAUUUCAGAUAUGUUGCUUAGAGUGACAGGCAUGAGUUUAUUAGAAUGGAUAGGAAUGGGGCUGACGAUAUAGCUCAGUUGGUAGAGUGUUUGCCUUGCAUGCACAGGCCCUGGGUUCAGUCCCUAGCAUCACACAAAAAACAGGGAUAGGAAUGGGGAAAAGGAGAAGGACAGUGCACUUCUCCUGCCUUCCAGUUUUUUUCCUCCACAUUUUUUAAAAUUGGUACAUUAUAGUUGUAUAUAAUGAUGGGAUUUGUUGUUACAUAUUUGUACAUGUAUAAUAUAACUAUAUAAUUUGGCUAAUAUCCUUCCCAGCACUUCUUCCCUCCCUCCCUUCUACCCCGCCUUUGUCCUUUUCCCCCAUUCUAUUAAUCUCCUUUGCUUUUCAUGCAUGGCUUCCCACCUUUCUUUUUCUUUUUUCUCUCUGGCAUCCACAAAUGAGAGAAAACAUACAAUGCUUGACCUUCUGAGUUUCUGCCCUCCAGUUUUAUUGAGGGUCCCAGGGAGGUUUCCAGAGAGUCCUGCCCAGGUGCGCUGCUUGG
rnacentral:lncRNA from 1 species